rnacentral:rRNA from 1 species
AGGAAAAGAAACUAACAAGGAUUCCCCUAGUAACUGCGAGUGAAGCGGGAAAAGCUCAAAUUUAAAAUCUGGCGGUCUCCGGCCGUCCGAGUUGUAAUCUAGAGAAGUGUUAUCCGCGCUGGACCGUGUACAAGUCUCCUGGAAUGGAGCGUCAUAGAGGGUGAGAAUCCCGUCUUUGACACGGACUGCCAGGGCUUUGUGAUGCGCUCUCAAAGAGUCGAGUUGUUUGGGAAUGCAGCUCAAAAUGGGUGGUAAAUUCCAUCUAAAGCUAAAUAUUGGCGAGAGACCGAUAGCGAACAAGUACCGUGAGGGAAAGAUGAAAAGAACUUUGGAAAGAGAGUUAAACAGUACGUGAAAUUGCUGAAAGGGAAACGCUUGAAGUCAGUCGCGUUGGCCGGGGAUCAACCUUGCUUUUGCUGGGCGUACUUUCCGGUCGACGGGUCAGCAUCAAUUUUGACCGUUGGAUAAAGUCCAGGGGAAUGUGGCAUCUUCGGAUGUGUUAUAGCCCUUGGUCGCAUACAACGGUUGGGAUUGAGGAACUCAGCACGCCGCAAGGCCGGGUACUUGUACCACGUUCGUGCUUAGGAUGCUGGCAUAAUGGCUUUAAUCGACCCGUCUUGAAACACGGACCAAGGAGUCUAACAUGCCUGCGAGUGUUUGGGUGGAAAACUCGGACGCGUAAUGAAAGUGAAAGUUGAGAUCCCUGUCGCGGGGAGCAUCGACGCCCGGACCAGACCUUUUGUGACGGAUCCGCGGUAGAGCAUGUAUGUUGGGACCCGAAAGAUGGUGAACUAUGCCUGAAUAGGGUGAAGCCAGAGGAAACUCUGGUGGAGGCUCGUAGCGAUUCUGACGUGCAAAUCGAUCGUCAAAUUUGGGUAUAGGGGCGAAAGACUAAUCGAUCCAUCUAGUAGCUGGUUCCUGCCAAAGUUUCCCUCAGGA